UUCACUCUCCUCUUCAGGUUCUUACACUUCGCCCGCAUAAUGGAGUUCAAGUAAUUCUACACUCCUUGUGAAAUUGCUCUCUUGUAAUGAAUAAUGGUUCAAUAUUAUAUAAAUAGGAAGCCUAGAAUAAGGUUUGUGAACCUCACCUGAGGUACUUGAGUGAGGAGGUCCAAAACUUCUAUCUAGUUUGCCUGUAAUGAAAAACCUCACACUUUUUUUUGCACAUUUUUUUGUUGUUGUUAACUUGGUGCAGAAAAUGUGUACCAAAUUCUUGGUCCUUAGGGAAUCAAGUAACAGUAAGAAGAAUAGGAUAUUACACAAAAAUGAAAUGCCUAAAAUAGAAUGACACCCUUGUGCAGACUAUAUGAACUAGGUGAUGCCCGCGAGUUGCCGCGGUUUGCAAUGCCGGAUAUUAACUACCGCAACUGCUUCUGUUUUGUUAUGCCGAUAGAAUGCAGCAAUAUCACAUAGGUGAUGGACAAACUGCACUGACUUGGACAGUGAUAAAAACCUGAAAAUAUUGCGAGUACAUGGUGAGUACAUUGACUACCAUGUCCAUCUCAAUAUUGUGAUUUUCUAGCAUUGUAAGUGGAAAUAACAGUUUGCAAUUGUAAGAUAUAUAAAUUGGUACGGAAGGACAUUUUUUAGCAAGACACGAACCAAUUUUUCAUAUGUACAUGGGACAUCAUAGUAGGUGCCAUUAACAUUAAGCUUGUGUGUGCAAUUCAAACGCGCGGGCAUCACCUUCACCGAACAAAAUCAUUCAAAACCAUCAUAUCACAUAGUCAACAGUCAUUUCCUUGUCAAACGUGUACCAAUGUUGCUCCAAUGAAAUUCACCGUCACAUCACUAACGCCCUUUGCAUUUAUUGUAAUGCCUGACUGCAUCUUUGUUAAAGACAUUCCAUGUUUCUGGAUGUUCUCAUUUGAAGCAGUACAAAAAUAUAUCACUUGGCCAUAUUUCAAUACAACUACGAUGCACAACACAGAAUUGAACAACCAUACAAAAUGAAGACAUAAUCAAAAUUCUUGUACUCAGUUGUAAAUGCUGAACAUCCUCUGCUUUUCACAAACAUUUGAUCCUGCAAAUGCUGAAGAACCUUUGCUUUUUGCAAACAUUCGACCUUGGCUGCUUGCAAGUUCAUGCACAAUAAUAUUGUCAAGGAUAUCCAUAUUGAAUCUAAUUAUCUAGUCUAGAACCCUACUAAAAAACCCAAAUUGAUACACCAUACAACUGCAUGAAAUGACUUUGACAAUAGAUAAGAUGACGACAGUUAUGUUUUUUAGAUUAUCUCAAUAUGUUCCAAAUGCAAUCUUUCAAAAAAGAACAGUAUAAUCUUCCUAUCAUGAAUACUGAACUUAAUCUUUCUACUAUGGAUACUUAACUCCGAACUGAUGCAGUCAAUUUCGAGGUCUAUAACGUAACUAUGUGUCUUCUCCUAAUUCAUAUGCACCUACCCAGUACCAAAAAUAAAAACAAUUGCCAAAAUUUCCAAACAUGAAAAACGAAAUCAAGCGAAAUUUGAAAUGAUUCAUAGUUUCAAAACAGUACCUCAAAAUACAGAUGACUCACUAUCGAUCAAAGCGANNNNNNNNNNNNNNNNNNNNGUAAUGAGCAAGUGAGAGAACAGAUGCUCCAAGAUCUUUUGUUAGAUUUUGAUGAGCUAAAAAUGUCCGAAAGUGAGUCAAUAGAUGAGUUUUAUAGUCGAAUUUUGAACAUAACAAAUCAGUGUGCUGGUCUUGAUUCUCCUCUAGAACAGUCUAGGAUUGUCAGAAAGUUACUUAGAGGUCUUCCUCCUAGUUUUGAGAAUAAGAGAGUAGCCAUACAGGAAUCCAAGGAUUUGAGAACCUAUUCUUUAGAAGAGCUAGUAGGAAACCUGAAAACCUAUGAAGCCCAUAAGAAGGGUUUGAUGAAAGAAAAAUCCAUUGCCCUCUCCUCUGUCAAGGAAACUGAGUCAAGUUUACAGAUUAAAAUUCCUGAGGACGUCGAAUAUAGUCUAGAAGAGUGUGCCCUCCUCACAAAACAGUUUGAAAAUUUUCUCAAGAAAAGAAGGAAACCGUUCUCCUCGAACCGGGGUUUUGGGAAACCUAGAUUUGGUGAGACAUCACAAGAUAGAGGUCAUGACAGAUAUCCUAAAAAUCCUCGUGUUGAGUCCUCUCAGGAUAGAGGACAAGAUAGAAAUCCUAAGGGUAAGAGUUCCCAAAGAAGCGAUGUGUGUUUUGAGUGUAAGGGUGUGGGACAUAGAGCUGUUGACUGUGCAAAUAGGAGGAUUCGCCCUCAGAAGGCUCUUGUCGUCACGUAUAGUGACAGUGAAGAGGAUCCCUUGUCUGAUCAACAGGAGGACACUGUGGCUUUCAUAGCUCGGGUUGUCCCUGAUCCCUCUUUGAAUCAUGGUAAAGAUCCAGUUGCCUUCAUUGCCACGGUAUCUCAGAUCGAGACUCCGGAGGAUGAUGAAGAUGAUGAUGGAAUGCAAAAGUUCUCUGAACUUGUCAACGCAUCAAAGUCCAUGUUAUCUAAGAUAGAUAUCCUGACCAAAGAUCUUGCAAAGUGUGAAAAAGAGAAAGCAAGGAUACAAGCUGAAUUGCUAUCCCAGCAAAAAGUGUGGAGAGCCGAAAAGCUGAGUCUAGAAAGUUCUCUUAGUGGUCUUAGGGCUGAUAAGCUAGCACUUGAAGUUUCUCUCAAGGAAUCUCAGCAACAGUUUGCUAAAUUUUCAAUAGGGUCUGAAAAAUUGACCAAGAUGUGUGGAAUGGGUAGACCAGAUAAGAACAAACAGGGUUUAGGGUUUGGAACUGGCGAGAACUCUAAGAAUAGUGGAACUGUGUUUGUAAAAAGUAAAGUUCCUGAUGAUAAAAUAGUAACUAACAAGGUUGAGUCUCCAAAAAGAUUCAAACCUACAUGNNNNNNNNNNNNNNNNNNNNNNNNNNNNNNNNNNNNNNNNNNNNNNNNNNNNNNNNNNNNNNNNNNNNNNNNNNNNNNNNNNNNNNNNNNNNNNNNNNNNNNNNNNNNNNNNNNNNNNNNNNNNNNNNNNNNNNNNNNNNNNNNNNNNNNNNNNNNNNNNNNNNNNNNNNNNNNNNNNNNNNNNNNNNNNNNNNNNNNNNNNNNNNNNNNNNNNNNNNNNNNNNNNNNNNNNNNNNNNNNNNNNNNNNNNNNNNNNNNNNNNNNNNNNNNNNNNNNNNNNNNNNNNNNNNNNNNNNNNNNNNNNNNNNNNNNNNNNNNNNNNNNNNNNNNNNNNNNNNNNNNNNNNNNNNNNNNNNNNNNNNNNNNNNNNNNNNNNNNNNNNNNNNNNNNNNNNNNNNNNNNNNNNNNNNNNNNNNNNNNNNNNNNNNNNNNNNNNNNNNNNNNNNNNNNNNNNNNNNNNNNNNNNNNNNNNNNNNNNNNNNNNNNNNNNNNNNNNNNNNNNNNNNNNNNNNNNNNNNNNNNNNNNNNNNNNNNNNNNNNNNNNNNNNNNNNNNNNNNNNNNNNNNNNNNNNNNNNNNNNNNNNNNNNNNNNNNNNNNNNNNNNNNNNNNNNNNNNNNNNNNNNNNNNNNNNNNNNNNNNNNNNNNNNNNNNNNNNNNNNNNNNNNNNNNNNNNNNNNNNNNNNNNNNNNNNNNNNNNNNNNNNNNNNNNNNNNNNNNNNNNNNNNNNNNNNNNNNNNNNNNNNNNNNNNNNNNNNNNNNNNNNNNNNNUAAGUUAUCAAUUGAGAACCAAACUGAAAACCACUUACCCAAAUCCAUGUUCUUCCAGCUUGCCCCGGGUUUGAUCUGAACAUGAGAGAGAGAAGCUUGGGCACCCUUUUUGUUCAACGACAGCAAUAGCAUCGUGCGCAAGAGAUGGAGAGAGCGAGGUCCAAAUGCGUGGAGAAUGGGAUUAACCUCAAGAUGAGACACAGAGCAGCUAUGUGGAAUAAAAAGAUCGCACCACGUGGAAACAACAUGCAGCAUCCCAACAUGUGGAAGGUGAUGGCAGUUGUGUAAUUAAUGGAAAACCGGAAGCAAAAACGACUUAACCCAAACUUGGGCAGAAACACAAUUAACCCAAACUUAGGGUAAAAACAUAAUUCACUAAAGAUAUGAACAGUUGUAUUCCCUUCCUGCUAUAGUAUAUAGAAUAGCCCAAAAGCUUCUCCCACUUGUUGAAAAUGGACUACUCCAAUCAAUAUCUGAAUGAAAUGGAAUUUGUAGGUUCUUCAUUGAGUGAUUUAGGCCCAACCGAUCUACCAAAACAAGGCAGCAGAGGAGGCAGGAUGUGAGAUCGAAGAAGACACCAAGAAGACGAUUCAUCCUUCUAGUCGAAAAACCUUCAAAUCAAAAUCUACUAUUGGAUGAUGCUUGCUAGGUUUAUUUACAAAUGCAUAUAUAGUCAUAUAUAGAUGGAAUAUAAUUUGGUAGAAUAAAUGGCUCUACUAGACUUGAGUGAUAACCGGCCAGCACUGAAUGAAGUUUAAUGAUUUCAGGGAUUCCAUUGUGACACGCUUCAAGUUGAUCAAACCAGGGAACUUAUGCUAGAGAUCGUUAACGGUAUAUAAAUAGCUAGAGUUUCAGAAUCUGAAGGCUUAGUGCUUAAUCAUUGUAGCAUUCAGCAAAUCAAAGAUAUUAUAUAUGUUAACCUUUCAGGUCAAACCUAAAUCACCUUGUGCUUCAUGGCGUAGUUUGUUUUCCAUAUAUUCAUUGUUCAAUUCCUCCUGCUAUACUACAUGAUUCAUAACAAAAUUAUUAAUGCAAUUUAUAUAUCUCCAAAAUCAUGUAGGCUAAAAUACAAUCAUGCAAAUUAUAUUGCUUUAUUUGUAUAUAUUGAUGACAAUAAGCUAGAACUUAAUCAUGCAUAGAAUAUCAAGAACACACAGGGUCGUAGCAAUAACACGAUUGUUUAAAUAUCGAGAAAUCGUGCACUUUGCAACUGCCGGAGUCGUGACCUCUUUCAGUGCACUUUUGAUUACAAUACUUGGUAGCUCUCGCAGAUUUAUGGUUCCAUAGUCCGUUAUCACAUUCCAAGCCAAUAUCGGUCGAUCUCAUCGUACAAUCUGCAACACCAAAAUGAAUCAAUUUUGACGUUGAAAAGAUCAAGAAGAGCGCUAGCAGGAAACCAAAUAUUCUUGACCCCAUGGCUAGCCGCUACACAAUGUAAUCAAUCCUUGGGCUUCUUCUUUUUAUGUUGUGCGUGGUAUAAGCAACAACAAUCACUGUUUAUACGAAUUUAGUGAAAUGUAAAUACGGUUACAUUACUAAAAAACAAUUGUAAUAAACGCGGUCUAUAAAUAAGCUUUAAAUUCACAAUAAAUUAACUAUAAGACUUUUUGUAACAAAUAAAUUAUAACGUUUUAACCCCUAUUGCGAACUGCAUGGCAUAAGCCAUGAUCUUCUAGAGAAUAGGAGAGGGGAUAACCUCACUGGAGGCAGCCCAGAAAGGGGUGGCGUUAGGGUUUCGAGAGGAAAAGCUCUCGACUCACAAAUAUACUGUAUAACAUGAAUUCUACAAUCAUGAAUUUUACAGCAAGUUUGGGGCAUAGAAGUUAGGAGGCCGAAAGACAAUCUUGAAUUUUGUGAUUUUUUUACAUGAAUUUUGAGGUUUAAUGAUGUGUGCUCCUGAUACAAAACAACUCAAGGGUUAAAAUGACAUAUUUCAAGUGUCAAAUCAAGUUGGAAUGAGGAAUAGAGAGGCAGUGAGUACCUAGAAGAGCAACUGUUUCUCUAUCACUGAAACCUCUACUUGAGAAGAGAUGCAAUAUAUGAGUGAUAUUGUCAUCAGGCCUUGGAAUCUCCUCCAGUGCUUCAUCAAAGUAGGACUGUGUGCUAUCUUUUCUACCUGUCAAGACUGGAUAAUAUGGGCCACCAGCCUGCAGCCAUUUCAGAUAUUACAACCACAUCGCCAUGAAGAAUUAGUUGAUGAUGCAAAAGGGAAAUCUUAAAGGAACUAAGAGAGAAAGAAAGGAAGAGAAGAACUGAUUAAUUAGCACACCAGAAUGAUGCCAUCUCUUGUGGCAAGAGCAAGUACAUCGGCACAAGAUACCACCCCUGGACAAGCAUUUUCGAGCUCCUCCUUGAUCUGAUCAAUGUUAUCGAAUCCCUUCAGGGACUCUUAUUUGGUGUGGCCUGCUUCUCUAUAGAAUGGUUUGUAUUCCCAUUGCUGUCAUCCAAGAGAACGGAAGCAUCACACCCCUGAUUCAAGAAUCCCCACAACAUUAAGAGUGACGUAUAAAUGGCUGGAUAGAAGUUACCGAAAUUAAAAAUAUUCAUAGCUUUGGACCAAUUCCCCUGAGAAAUCUUUAUGAGUCAUAGUAGUAUUGAGUCAUAGUUGGUAUCAACACAAACACGUAACAAACUAACAACAGUCACUAAAAUGCACCAAGAACCCUAUUUGGAAUCAAAGAAUCCAUAAAAUUCAGAAAUGAUUGUAGCUAACACAAUUUGUUUCAAUCUCUAUAUAAAAGAUUCAUAAAAAAGUACACUGGUUUUGGAAUUGGAAACCCAAUAAACAGAAUAUAUAUUACAAGUUAACAAAAAUCCAUACAGUUCAACCAUACCAUAUAUAAAAUAAGUCGCAAUGAGCAUCACAAUAAAUUUCACUUGUUUUCACAAGAAUGCUCACACCAAAAGCCAUUUCAGAAUCUGAGUUUCUAUACCUUAAUGAAGCAGUCAUUGAAAAAUAGACGCAGCAACUGAGCCGAGACGUUCCUGUGCUGCCGGUAAAUCCAAGCCAUCUUCGUCCUCACAAUGGUCUCGGCCUGAGGACACGAGCUCCUAUAGAAAUCGUACUCCAUAUUCCCCGACGCCUCAUCCGUCGCCAUACACGAAACCACCACCGAGAACAACACCACCGUCGCGAACAGCCACUGUGCCUUCACUGUUCCUAACAUCUUCUUCUUCUUCCGUUGACGUCGUGCUGAGAGGGUCACAGAGAGAGAGAGAGAGAGGGGUUGUAGCGGGAAAUGAGAAGCAGAGAGAUGAAGAGUAUGAUAUAGUAACGAGCCGGGUUGACCCGGCCAAGCCCAACAAUUCUUUUUUGGGUUAGGUUGGGGUUUAAUGAUUGUCAAGAUGAAAAAGCCUAAAGCCCAAUACACACAGUGUUCAUGUUUUUCUAAUCCUUAUUUUUCUCUUUACACCCUUCUUCACACCCCACUCACCUCUACCUUGAUAAUAAUCUAGCACCCCACACCUCCACACCACUCACCCCUACCUUCAUACUACCCCCAAAUUUAGUAUUCUCAUCCAGCUCCACUUUCACGAAAGCGUAUUCAGCGCACCAGGAAAUUUUUACGGGAGUGCUUGGCACGCGCUGUAUAUGCAUUUAUGGUUGGUAUUGGUCCUCUUUCCAGCUAAUCCAUUACAGACUUGAAGAGGAGAGACGAUGGCAUUGGUGUCGGGCCGCCGGCAGGAGACGACCUGAAGAGGAGUGGCGAUCGAUUGGACGGCGACGGAGAGAGAAGGAAUUGGUGUCGGAGAGACAGAGGUGGUCGUGGUGGUCGGAGAAUGAGGCGGCGAAUUUACAGAUGUGGUUUUUGGCGGUCGAUGGAGGAAGGGAAAGAGAGCUGGAUUUGGUUUUGAGUUUGGGAAGGUGGCAAUCAAUUCAGAGGGGAAGACUUCAAUUCAAAGGAGAAGACUUCAUCGAAAAGGAAAAAAAAUGAAAGGAAAAGAAGAGAUAAUGAGGCAAUUUUAUUAUUAUCUUUAUUAUUAUUAAAUCCAAACACAUGGAUUUGUGUUAGUUGAUCUCAAUUAGGCCAAAAUAGGUUUGGUUUAAGUUUCUUGUUUGUGUUUCUGUUUAUGUAGGUGUUUGGUUUUAAAUUUGAGGUUUAGGGUUUAAGUGUUAAUAGGAAACAUAAGUGUUAAUAGGGUUGACCGUCUCGAUCGAGGUCUAAACAUUUUUAAAAAUAUGUGAUUUUUCAACCCUAGCCGUAUUUAUCUAUUCCGGUCACAUCCUAUUUCACAUGAUUUUCGAAAAGUUUGCUUUCUUUGUAUAGUUGAUUCACAAUAAUGUGCAUUUGCAUAUAACUUACUUAACAAGUUAUAUUGCUUUAGUAGACAUAUGACGAUCAGAAUAAAAAUUUCACCGUCUGAUAUAGACAUGGUGAUUAAAUAGGUCUACUGAAAAAAAAUUCACCAUGUUUCGGAUUCGUUAGACCCCCCCAUCGAACCGGUCUACGUAAAUUCAACUUCAUUUUUUUACAUGAAACGCGGUUGACCAACAUCGUGCAAAACCCUAUAUUUCCUCGUUUUUUAACUUAAAACUUGUAUACAUGAGAUUUAGGAACCCAUGAAAAAAAAUUGUUAAAUUGACCCUCCGGUGGUUAGGCUCUUCUUAGGAGCGCCUAAGCAUUUUUCGAGUUGGCUGCUUUUAUCGGGAAGCAAACAUUACCGAAAGUUUAUGAUUUUUUAACCCUAUAUGUAUUUCACUAUUCCGGUCACAUCCUAUUUCAUAAGAUUUUUGAAAAUUUUGUCCUUUUAGUAUAGUUGGAUCACAAUGAUGUACAAGUCAUAUAACUUAUUAAACAAGUUAUACCGCUUUAGUAAGUACGUGACGAUCCGAGGUCAUAAAUAUAUGAAAAUAAAAAUUUCACCGUCAGAUGUAGACAUGGUGAUUAAAUUGGUCUACUGAAAAAAAAUCCACCAUAUUUCGGAUUCGUUAGACCCCCCAUCGAACCGGUCAACCUAAAUCAACAUCAUUUUUUACACGAAAAGCGGUUGACUGGCAUCGUACGUAAACCCUUUUUUUUUUUCAAACCUAAAACUCGUAUACAUGAGAUUUAGGAAUGCAUGAAAAAAAAUUGUUAAAUUGGCCCUCAGGUGGUUAGGCUCCCCUUAGGAGCGCCUAAACGUAUUUAGAGUUGACUGCUUUUAUUGGGAAGCAAACGUUACCAAAAGUUUGUGAUUUUUUAACUCUAUAUAUAUUUCAUUAUUCCGGUCACAUCCUAUUUCACAAGAUUUUUUAAAAUUUUGUCUUUUCAGUAUAGUUAGUUCACAAUGAACAAGUCAUGUAACUUACCAAACAAGUUAUACUGUUUUAGAGGCACGUGGCGAUCCGAGCUUAUAAAUAUGUGAAAAUAAAAAUUCACCUUCAGAUGUUGACAUGGUGAUUAAAUAGGUCUACUGAAAAAAAUUCACCUCAUUUCGGAUUCGUUAGGCCACCCAUCAAAUUGGUCAACUUUAAUUCAACCUUAUUUCUUACACGAAACGUGGUUGACCGACAUUGUGUGAGAUCCCAUCACAACGUGCCUACUAAUGUAACAUAACUUGUUUAGUAGGUUAUUUGGAAGUGUUUAUUUUUGUGAACCAAUUAUACAAAAGAAACAAAUUUUUAAAAAUAUUUUGAAAUAGGAUGUGAUCGGUAUGGUGAAAUACGUCGAAUUCUACUUUAUUGUGACGCCCUAAAGAAAUUUACCGAGUGUUCGUUGAGUUACCGAAGUUUAGUAACCGCGCUUGGUUAAUUUCUAAGUUAACUCCUAAGUCUAUUAUUGAGUUUUUCUCUAAAUGUCAUAUUCCACUUUUAAGGACCUGGUGUCAAAGUACGCGGCGAGACGAAUUUACCCCAAUCUUCAGAUUAAUUUUCAGAACAUCGAGCUAUUUUUCUUAUUUAUCUUAGUUUCAGAAAUUUAUAAAAUUUUCUAAAAUUAGAAAAUAGCAUUUUAAAAUCUGGGUUGUUCAUUGUUUUCCACCUUUUUAAUCUUGGUCGUCGUUUCUCUGUAAAAGGAAGAGACUGUUGGUCUUGGUCAAAAGCCAAUUUCGGGUGUUGACCCAUCUCUCUCUCUCCUCCUCCUCUCUCUCCACCGCAGCAAUCUUCUCCGCCGCCCUCCGCCCGAUUCCGGCCACCCCAGGCAGCGAGACCACCACCAAAAUCUUUCUCUUCUUCCACUCUACAAAACCCAGUCCAUAUAUCAAACAUGCAACCCAAUUCAAUGGAGAUCGAAUUCAAGGGUGUUUCACUGUGUUCUUCAAUUUCCGGCGAGAUCCAAUGGCGACUGUAAUAGCAAUGGGUAGGGUUUCUCUCCUCUUCUCUUCUUGUUCAAUUCUUUUGUCUUUUUUUCCUUGAAUGGUGCCCGAAUCCUUAAUACCUCUUUUCUGGAAUUUUUCACGGAGUCUCCGGCGAGGUAUUCCAGCGCCUCCCUCUCCUUCCCGGCGUCGCCUUUUUCUCCUGGAGACAAAAAGGAACACGGAGGGAGGCUAGAAGGGCUGCUGUCGUUGUGUUGGAGGAAAACUGAACCCAGAAUCCGGCAAGGAAGGGCCUGCAUCGUCGGCAGUGGUGUGCGCCAAACCAGAAAAGUCAUUACGAGGACUGCAUUGAAGAUGGAUGCACACCCAUUCUCUUCCCCUUCUCCCCCUCACUCGCCUACAAACGUCCUGCAAACGCCGCACUAACGUCCUUAAUCCACGCGUCAAAAUGGACGGUGGAUAAUCCGGGUGCGCCGCGCACCCGGGUGCGCUCUAGAAUUUUCGCACUUUCACCUACUUUCACUUGAGACACUUGUUAAUUUCAAUAGAACAAAACGUUUGAAUCCCCUACAGUAUUCUAGGGUUUCAUUGCACAUACAAAAAGUAUUUUUAUAGCCUCAGAGAUUGAUCCGUUAAGAGGUCCGGACAACCCAUAAGGCAUUCUUAACUUAUUUCAGUUAAGAACACUAAACCAUCCUACCUAAGUACCUAAUGUGUCCACUGAACCACUUCUCAUGGUUCCUCAUUGAAUGCCUCUGAAGAUUAGACUUCUGAGUUUUGAGAGAUAACUGAUAAUCGCUUUCACCUUAUUUCUUUGUGAAAAAUUACAUUUUUCUUCGCACAUAAAACUCUGUCAUACUUAUAUUGCACAGGGAUAGUUUCUUCCAACAAGGUCCCCUUUGGCGCCACCUAAUCCCACCACAUUUAUCAUCUACCAAUAAGAAAGCAAAGCUGAACAAAGAGAACCUUUGUUUACCCUCUUCUUUUUCAAUGUUGAUUGCUAUUCUUUUUCUUUUCUUCAUCGGGGACUUUGUUUGCACUGGUUGGUAAACCUAGGAAGAUGUCACUCUUCACGAAUGUACUCUUUUCCCUGGUAUGCGUUUGAAGAUGCAUAUCACUCUCGAGUCUGAGUCUUGACUAUUGUAAUAUGAGUCGAUCUUUCUUCUCUAUUUUAUUUCUAACGUUAAGAAAACUUUCAAACCCGGCCAUCUAUAUUGAACUGUUCUGUUAAUGAGCAUUCAAUGGUCUCCAUCUGUAAUGUGGUUUUCUGUUUGGAGAUAUUUAUUCCAGUUGCAACAGGGUUUGCCGUUUAGCUAAAAAUAGUGUGUGUGAUGUAACAACUUCAUGCUUCUGCUCAUUUACGUUGGAAUAUAUCCAUCAGAAAAUUGGCUCCAGGUUCUCUAAUCCUUUCUGCUUCAUCUUCUUCAUUUUCUCUGUUCAGUCCAUCUUCACUGGCAUCUUCUUCUCUUCUCCUCGCGAUCUAAAAAUCUCUUCUAAUCUAAUUAAACAGCUAAAUGAUCACUCAAAAUAUGAGUACUACUGGAUUCCCAGUAUUAUUCAUCAUUUCAAGCUCUGUGUUUCUGUUCCUUCUGAUCUUCAAGGUCUUUCACACGCAAUGGUGGAUUCCAACUCGCCUACAGAAACUGAUGUGCCUGCAGGGAAUUAGAGGCCCUUCUUACAGACUUGUCAAUGGAAACGCCAAAGAAAUCUUGAACAUGAAGAAGGAAGCCAUGAGCAAACCCAAAGGUCUAUCACAUGACAUAUUUCCUGUAGUUCAACCUCAGUAUCACUCGUGGCUUAAGAUAUAUGGUAACACAUUACAAACCGAUUGAUCUCAUCAACUCUGGCUUGCAAAUCUUAGUACUAAUUUCCCUUUGACUUGAUUCAGUGUUGUUUUGUCACAUCCCGACCCUUAUAUUUUUACCUUAUUUACUAGCGUGAUUAUAAUAAGAAUUUUACUGUCUCGAUCGUUGAGUUAAUAGUUUAAUUGGUCCCUAGAGGGGUUUCGGGGACGAUUAUGUGCGGACGAUUAUUUGUAAAAGGAAAAUACGACGACGGUAAAAAUAGUAAAUUUUAGCUAGUAAAAGGUAAUUUUUAUUCGGGUAUUAUUUUUUCGGGGUGUUUUAUUUUUUGUNNNNNNNNNNNNNNNNNNNNCCCCCCCCGACGUCUUCUUCCCUGCCGGAUCGUCCAGCCAGCGUCUGCCGCCGUCCGGCCAGCCACCGGCCGCCGCUCCACCUCAGAUCGGACCCCCAUCUCCUCCUCUCCCUCCCCGGCCUAGCCCCCGAGCCGUUAGCCCGCCGGAAGAAGAAAAAAACUCGCCGGAGAUGCCGGGAAGCUUUUUGCCGGAACUCCCUCCUCCGGCCACCAAAAUGGGCAAGUUUGGUACGGUUUUGUAGCCCUCCAACCCAACAGCCUUGCCCUAAAAGGACACUCCCUCUCUUGAGCUAGGUAAGGAGAAAUGUGGAGUUGAAAUUUCUAGGGCUUUUAGGAUGUUUUUAGUCGAUUACCCUAGUUAGGCUUGGAAUUGGUGUUUGUGCUGGUUAGGAAAGUUGUAGAGCAUGAUGAGAGGAAGAUGUUGUCAAAAUUUCAUAGGUUUUGGAGGUCGCCGGAAUCGGCCUCCGGCCGCCGCUGCCGGCGGAGCCGCCGCGGUUUGGGAGAUUUUUAGGGUUUUAAAUGUAGAAUAUUAAGGGGAUUAUAUUGAUGUGAUUUAUGGAAUUUUUGGAUGAGAUUUGGAUAGGUUUGUAAAUUUCCGAAGUUUGGUAUUUUUGGCGGUUAAUUAAUGUAGAAUCCGGCCGUAGGAUUUAAGUCGUAUUUUUGGGGGGUUGUAUUUACGACUGUCGAGGAUGAUAUCUAAGUUCGGAUCGUUUCGAUUUAAAAAUAUCGAAGUUAGGCAAUGAUGAGCGUAUUUAUGGCUCUUGGGUAAUUUUGCCUAUUUUUGAUUAAAUAUUGGAUUGUUAGUUGGGAAAUUAAUAUUAUAUUUAGAACAGGACGUGAGGAGGCUUGAGCAGACGAGGCCCUAGAUCGACAUCAAGCUUAGGCCUAAUUUGUGAGUUGACUUUUGUUUUAAAUAAAAUGCAUGCUAGAGUUCAUGGUUGAACAAUAUUUGUUGCGGAAUAUUUUGACGUCAUUUUAAUUUGACGAAUUUUAUUUCUCUUGGCGAGUUACCGAAAAUGAGAUUUUCGGUGGAUAUAAAUAUGUAUUUAUGAGAGAGUAUGUAUACAAAAUGCUAACUAGCCAUAUGUGUCUGUCCACCUUAAUAGCGUAGCAUAUAGCCGCAUUAUGGUGUGACGUGAGCGUUGGACGUGAGCGUAGUAGCCCUAUUUGAGUGUUUAAUUCAUAUAGGGGGUAUGGACACAUAUUUAUACACCCGUCUGUCCACCUUAUUGGCGUAGUGUAGCACCGCAUUAAGGCGUGACGUGAGCGUUGGACGCGAGCAUAGUAGCCCUAUAUAGACCCAUGAAUUUAUAUAGGGAGUAUGGACGAGUGUAAAUACAUACAUACAUUUUAGAGUCUGAGAGGCUCGAUAUUUUAUGAGAUAAAGGUUUUAUCGCUUGCGGCAUGCAUUCGAUUUUUUCCUUAGAAAUUAAUUUGGGGAAACAUAAAUAUUUUAUUUAUUAUUUUAUUUUUGUCCACUCACUCUAACGUAUUUCAAAUGUUUUCCCCUGGGACCUUUGUUUUAAAUUGCCCAGUUUGCAGAGUUCGGAUUAGAUCUAGUAGGAGGCGAGGCAUAGUCACCCGCAUUUCCGCCAGUUUUCAUCAGUAGGUUACAUGUUUAACCUACUCGUGUUUUCUUGCUUCCGCUAGUGUCUAGUAGCUUUGAAUACUUUGGGAUUAUUGUAUAUUAUGUUUAAAAUUUCUGAAGGAUAAUUAUGUGAUGUUUGGACGUGUUGUAUUAAGAGUGUAAUUUGGAAUUUUCGAGUUAGGGUUGUCCAUUUUCAAGAGAGAUUUUCUCAAUCUUUUCAGUAAAUUUUCCUUGGAGGUGGUCCCCGCACGACUUACUCCGGGCUUCAGGGUGAAAUUCGGGGUGGGUCAUGUCAUGUUUUGUUUUUUUUGUGACAGGGAAGAUUUUUCUUCAGUGGUUAGGAACUGAAGCUCAGUUGGUAGUUAUGGAACCUGAAUUGUGCAAAGAGAUACUAAUUAACAAAGACAGAGUUUAUAUGCAAAAGAAACAAGAAGGACUUGGGAAGAAGCUAAUAGGAAACAGCCUUGGGACUUCUGAAGGAGAACAGUGGCUAAAACAUCGAAAGCUGGCAAACCAUGCCUUACAUGGACAGAGUUUAAAGGUAAGCUUUAGUUAUUACUCAGCAAAUUAUAAUUAAGAAAGAAACAAAUUUCAAUUAUGUGCCAUAUGAAUUGUCACUUUUUUUUUACCAGAAUAUGAUUCCAGAAAUGAUAGCUACUGCUGAGAAGAUGCUGCAGAGGUGGAAAAAUAGUGAGGGCAAAGAGAUCGAGUUGUAUCAAGAAUUUAGGUUGUUUACUGCAGAAGUGAUUUCCAGGACAGCAUUUGGCAGCAGCUACUUAGAAGGGAAGAACAUUUUUGACAUGUUGACGAAGAUAUGCUUGCUAGUGUUCAAAAAUUCUUAUAAGAUCAGGCUUCCUGGUAUCCGGUAACGUUCUUUAACUAAUGUCCAUUGCAUUUGAAGAAAUGAUCCCAUAGAACUAUCUUUCUUGUAGUUUCUGGUUGUAUCAUUUAUCUAUCAAAGUAUCAAUAAUUCAAUAUAUGCAAGAUAUAUCGAUAUGUGAAUACUCUUAUAUUUGGUUUUUACAUUACUAACGUGCAUGUUCCCAUCUGCUAUAUAGCAGAGAACAAGUCACUGCAAUAUCGUAAAUGACUAAAUGAGGAUUGUGUAUGUUCCCAUUUAUAAUGUUUAUUUCAUAUUGUCAUUCCAUAUUGCAGAAAAUUUUUCAAAACCAGUGAUGAAAUUGAAGCAGAGAAGCUUGAGAAGGAUUUACGCUACACGAUAUUAGAGAUUGUAAAGAAAAGAGAAAACAAGGUAGUGGUGAAGCAAGAUGAAAACAACUUUGGGGACGAUUUACUUGGAUUACUUUUGAAGGCUCACCAUGAGGACAGUAAUGAUAGAUAUAGGGUCACGAUAGAUGAUAUAAUUGAUCAGUGCAAGGCAUUAUACUUUGCUGGACAAGAAACAACUAAUGGUUUGCUGGCUUGGACUGUCCUUCUUCUAGCACUCCAUCAGGAUUGGCAAGAGGAAGCAAGAAAAGAAGUCCUACAAUUAUUCGGAAAACAGAAUCCAAGUUCCGAUGGCAUUUCCAGACUAAAAACUGUAAGAAUGUCAAUCAUGCAUUACACUGAUAUACUGUGCAAGUGCUAGAAAUUGUCAUCAAUAAGUAUGUGAUCCUGAUGUGGUGUUCUGUCUCAUUUUGUUUCCAUAUUUAUGAUGCAGAUGAAUAUGAUCAUCAAUGAGUCUCUAAGGUUAUAUCCUCCUGUUAUUGAACUUGUAAAGAAAGCUGAAAGAGAAGUUAGGCUGGGGAAGUUGAUUGUUCCUGCUAAUAUUGAUUUGGUCAUUCCAAUUGUAGCCCUUUACCAUGACACUCAAAUUUGGGGACAAGACGCCGGACUUUUCAAACCGGACCGAUUCUCAGAAGGGGUUGCAAAAGCUACCAAGGAUAACAUGGCUGCAUUCAUACCAUUUGGAAUGGGACCUAGAACUUGUGUAGGUCUCAACUUUGCCACCACUGAAACUAAGAUUGCUCUGUCAAUGAUUCUGCAACGCUACGCCUUCACUCUUUCCCCGGGAUAUGUCCACUUACCUCUUCAUUUUAUUACACUUCGCCCGCAGAAUGGAGUUCAAGUAACUCUACACUCCUUGUGAAACGUUGAAGACUAGCAGAGUGGCUCUCUGUGUCUAGGACUCAUGGAUUGGCUAAAGACAUGGUGUCCUAUAAUAAUGUAAGUUUGUUCAAGCCUUCAAGGUGUGCAUGGUAUCUAGGAAAUUAAUUAAGCAUGGGAUUGAUUCAUGAUGCGCUAGAUUCAUGGUUCUCUGGUAACGAACAAGGAUGAAUAAUGCUUGAAUGUAUAUCCAGCCUAGUACAAGCUACAGAAUUUACAGCAAGCUGUAAGUUUGGUGCAUAUAGAAGUUAGGAGGUCGAAAAAUAAUCAUGAAUUUAGUGAUUAUAAACAUGAAGUCAUGAAGAAAGCCUAAUAUUUGCCCACAAGGUCUCCUUUGUCGCCACCUAACAUUUACCAUAUAUCAGACAGAAAGGAAAGCUAAUUAAACAAAGAAAAGUAAGUUUUUAAUGGAAUUAGGAAGGAUACAUACAAAGACACCUUUGUUUACCCUCUACUUUGUGUAAGAACAUGUCACUCUAAACUAUCAUGUCCUUAACCUUGGUACGCCUUUGAAGAAUUGAAGACAUAUCAAUCUUGAUUACUGUAAUCCAUUUUUCUUGCUAAUAUAUACAUCUGUAAAUUAAGAAAAACAAAACAAAAAACCUUCAAGCCCACCUGGAUUGAUAAAAAUAAUCUCUAGUUCUCUACAUUCUAGAAGUAUAUAUAUAGCGAGUCAUUGAUCAAAUCAAAUGAAUUGUACAGUAGUAUAUAUAGCAGAUGCAGGUUGCGUACAAUAAAUAUAAUACAUAUUUUUACAACAUGCAUGCACAAAAUCAUAUCAAAUUAAUUAAUUUACAAGAUGCACGAAAUCAUAUCAAAUCAAUCAGAGAAUUCAGACUUGAUAUGGGGAAUGAGAUCUUGAUUUUGGGACGAGACAAUCUUGCUAAUUAACUGUGACAUUUUUGCACCAAGUUUGGCAACAGCGAGCUGGACAUAUAUAUAAGCCGUCGGUGAUCGCUUAUAAAUGUGAAUAAUAAAAAAAAACUACUCAUAUGUUCUAGAAGUGUAUAUAUACACUUCUGUUUCAUAGUUUCCUUUUCUAUUACUCAAACCUACUCAUCAUAAUGUGAUGAUUGUGAUCUGCAUAUACAGUACCCUCCUCUACAAAAAUGUGGAGCAAAGGCCACACACCUUUGCAUUUUUCAUUAAAUGUGGCAAAUGAGAGUAUCAGUACUGGUAUCGGUGGGGUAUGAGGAAGAAUGCUACACAUGGUGAUUUGCAACACCGACCACACAUCUUGAGUGGCAUCUGCUCCAUCUUGUUGCAGUAUCUACUCCUCCCUAUGUAUAUAUUGGCAUCUUCUUCGAUCUCUUUUCCAGUUUUCCUCGACUCCUCCUACUUACAGAAACCAUCAUUCCUAUGAAUAUCAAUCCUUCAAAUUGUUGAGCUUCAGCGCCUUGUUUUAGUGGUCUACAAAUUUCUUCAAAAUCCAAGACUGAGUGUGUUGGGGCUAAGAGCUAGAGCUAAACCAUUCUGAAAAUAUGAGUAUUACUGGACUCCCAGCAGUAUUCAUUGUUUCAAGUUUUGUGUUUCUGUUCCUUCUGAUCAUCAAGAUCUUUCACUCACAAUGGUGGACUCCAACUCGCCUACAGAAACGGAUGGGUCUCCAGGGAAUCAAAGGCCCUUCAUACAGACUUGUCCAUGGAAACGCUAAAGAAAUCUUGAACAUGAAGAAGGAAGCAAUGAGCAGAUCCAAAGGUUUAUCACAUGACAUAUUUCCUGCACUUCAACCUCAGUAUCACUCUUGGUUCAAGACAUAUGGUAAGAAAUUGUUAACUAGAAUGGUCUCGUCAAGUCAAAUAUGGCUUUCACAUCUUUAGUGCAUAACUGCGUAUCAAUCUCCAAUUAACUUGAAUGCUGUUUUUUUUUUUUUUACUUGUGACAGGGAAGAUUUUUCUUCAGUGGGUAGGUACUGAAGCUCAAUUGGUAGUUAUGGAACCUGAGUUAUGCAAAGAGAUACUGAUUAACAAAGAUAAAGUUUAUCUGCAAGUGAAAAUGCAUGGAUUUGGGAAGAAGCUACUUGGAAAUGGCAUCGGGAAUUCUGAAGGCGAACGGUGGGUAAAACUUCGAAAGCUGGCCAACCAUGCCUUACAUGGAGAGACUUUAAAAGUAAGCUUUAGUACAUAUGGCAUUCAUGAAAAUAGACCUGUAAAUGGACCGGAUUCGUGGUUUCUAAACGGGUUGGAUCGAAAAUUAGACUCAUUUAUCUGUUAAGGACCCGGAUCCGUUAACCUGUUUAUUAAACGGAUCGGAUACAAAUCGAGGUUGAUCCAAUCCAUUAAGGACCCGGCCGAUCCGUUUUAAAAUAAUUAAAUAAUAUUUUUAUAAAUAUAAUAUUAUUGAUAAAUAUUAAAUAAUAUAAUAAUUAUUUAAAUAACCUAAACGUCUAAAUUGCGUCUAAAGUAUGAUCAUUUGAUGAAAUUAAACGUUACUGAUGCGCAUGUUCUUUUUAUGCUCUUUGCUAAAUACAUUGGAGGUCUAGUAUUUUGAAUAUAUUAGUUUAUUGUUAAGGAGUAUUUUGACAUGUAAUUCAAUUUUUAAUGUAAGCCUUUAUUUUGUUAUAAUAUUUCAUUAGUGUUUUACGAAAAUUUAUGAUAAAAUUAAGAAAUUAUUAUUUUUAAUUUGAAAAUAUUUAUUAUUAUAAAUGGAUCGGAUUAACGGAUCGGGUAUCCGUUAACCCGCCGGAUCCGGAUUUGGAUCUAGCUAUCAAAGAUCUGGAGGGUAACAGGUCGGAUCUAGAUCCAAAAUUUCUAUUACGGAUCCGGAUCUGGAUUUAGAUCGAUCCGCUUCAAAUCCAGUCCAUUUAUAGGUCUACAUGGAACUCAACUUUCACUUACUUUGUCUUUGUUAUUAGUAGUUACCGCAUCAGAAGUUGUUGAAGUCGUAGCAUGAAUUGUCAAGUGACAAAAUGAACUUGGGUCUUUACCCAGAAGGACAAAAUUAGCUCCACCAAUUUUCCUGUUUCUAUUCCCUAUUACUACAACGUCCAUGGCCAUGUUCAUAAAAGGACUUGAAAGAAAUUUAAUUUCAGCGGUGGGACUUUAUCCUUUUUUUUUUUUUUUNNNNNNNNNNNNNNNNNNNNAGAAAUGAUAGCUAGUGCUGAGAAGAUGCUGCAGAGGUGGCAAAAUAGUGAGGGCAAAGAAAUCGAGCUGUAUCAAGAAUUUAGGUUGUUUACUGCAGAAGUGAUUUCCAGAACAGCAUUUGGCAGCACCUACUUAGAAGGGAAGAACAUUUUUGACAGGUUGACGAAGAUUUCGGUGUUAUUAUUCAAAAAUACUUAUAAGAUCAGGCUUCCUGUUAUACGGUAAGUUUCUUUUACUGCACAAUGUUCAUUGCAUUUGAAGAAAUGAUCCCAAAGACUUAAUUUCCAGUAGUUGCUGUUUGUAUCAUUAUUUGAUCAACAUAUGUAUGAUAUAUAUGUAACUACUAUUAUAUAUGUGAUAUUUUGUUUGACAUUGUUACCUUGCAUGUCCCAUUUACUAAGUACAUAGCAGAGAACAAUUCACUGCAACAUAUAUUGUAGGAGGAUUGUGUAUGUUCCCAUUUCUCAUGUUUAUUUCAUUCAUGUUUUCAUUCCGUAUUGCAGAGAGCUUUUCAAAACUAGUGAUGAAGUUGAAGCAGAGAAGCUUGAGAAGGAAAUACGCAAAACGAUACUAGAGAUUGUGAAGAAAAGGGAAAACAAGGCAGUGGCACAGCAGGAUGAACUCAACUUUGGGGGGGAUUUUCUUGGAUUACUUUUGAAGGAUCAUCAUGUUGACAGUAAUGACAGAUACAGGUUCACAAUAGAUGAUAUAAUUGAUCAGUGCAAGGCAUUGUACUUUGCUGGACAAGAAACCACUAAUGGUUCGCUGUCUUGGACCGUCUUUCUUCUGGCACUUCAUCAGGAUUGGCAAGAGGAAGCAAGAAAAGAAGUCCUACAAUUAUUCGGAAAACAGAAUCCAAAUAUCGACGGCAUUUCCAGACUAAAAACUGUAAGAAUGUCAUCAACAGUUAAUACUGCUGAUUGUGUAAGCGGUAGAAACUGUCAUCAGUUAAGUAUGAAAUUCUAAUUUGUGUUUAGUCUCAUUUUGUGUCUGUCUUUUUGAUGCAGAUGAAUAUGAUCAUCAAUGAGUCUCUAAGGUUGUAUCCUCCUGUUACUCAACUUAUAAAAAGAACUGAAAGGGAAGUUAGGCUGGGGAAGUUGAUUGUUCCUGCUGACAUUGAUUUGGUCAUUCCAAUUGUAGCACUUCACCAUGACACUCAAAUAUGGGGACAAGACGCCGGACUUUUCAAACCGGACCGAUUCUCAGAAGGGGUUGCAAAAGCUACUAAGAAUAACAUGGCUGCAUUCAUACCAUUUGGAAUAGGACCUAGAAUUUGUGCGGGAUUCAACUUUGCCACCACUGAAAUUAAGAUAGCUCUGUCAAUGAUUCUGCGACGCUACACCUUCACUCUUUCCCCGGGAUAUGUCCACUCACCUCUUCAUUUUCUUACACUUCGCCCGCAGAAUGGACUUCAAGUAAUUCUACACCCCUUGUGAAAUUGCUCUCUUGUAAUGAAUAAUGGUUCAAUAUUUAUAUAAAUAGGAAGCCUAGAAUAAGGUCUGUGAACCUCACCCGAGGUACUUGUGAAAUUGCUCUCUUGUAAUGAAUAAUGAUUCAAUAUUUAUAUAAAUAGGAAGCCUAGAAUAAGGUUUGUGAACCUCACCUGAGGUACUUGAGUGAGGAGGUCCAAAACUUAUAUCAAGUUUGCUGCAUAGAAGUUCCGAUAAUUCACGACGUCGAAAAACAAUCUCCUGUAAUGAAAAACCUCAC
rnacentral:lncRNA from 1 species